rnacentral:rRNA from 1 species
GGUCACUGCUAUUGGGAUUCGACUAAGCCAUGCGAGUCGAGAGGGUUCGGCCCUCGGCUGACGGCUCAGUAACACGUGGAUAAUCUGCCCUUAGGUGGAGGAUAAUCUCGGGAAACUGAGGAUAAUACUCCAUAGAUCUAGGAUGCUGGAAUGCAUCUAGAUUGAAAGCUCCGGCGCCUAAGGAUGAGUCUGCGGACUAUCAGGUUGUAGUCAGGGUAAAGACCUGACUAGCCUACGACGGAUACGGGUUGUGAGAGCAAUAACCCGGAGACGAUAUCUGAGACACGAUAUCGGGCCCUACGGGGCGCAGCAGGCGCGAAAACUUCACACUGUGCGAAAGCGCGAUGAGGGAAUCCCAAGUGUUUGCUCGUAAGAGUAAACUGUUUCUUUGUUUAAAACGCAGAGAGAGUAAGGGCUGGGUAAGACGGGUGCCGGCCGCCGCGGUAAUACCUGCAGCUCGAGUGGUGAUCAUUAUUAUUGGGCCUAAAACGUCCGUAGCCGGUUUAGUAAAUGCCUGGGUAAAUCGUGUAGCUUAACUAUACGACUUCCGGGUAGACUGCUAAACUUGAGACCGGGAGAGGCUAGAGGUACUCCUGGGGUAGAGGUGAAAUUCUGUAAUCCUAGGGGGACCACCAGUGGCGAAGGCGUCUAGCUAGAACGGGUCUGACGGUGAGGGACGAAGCCCUGGGGCACAAACCGGAUUAGAUACCCGGGUAGUCCAGGGUGUAAACGCUGCUUGCUUGAUGUUAGUUGGGCUCCGAGCCCAACUAGUGUCGGAGAGAAGUUGUUAAGCAAGCUGCCUGGGAAGUACGGUCGCAAGGCUGAAACU